AGUGAACGCUGGCGGUAGGCCUAACACAUGCAAGUCGAACGGCAGCACAGUAAGAGCUUGCUCUUACGGGUGGCGAGUGGCGGACGGGUGAGGAAUACAUCGGAAUCUACUUUUUCGUGGGGGAUAACGUAGGGAAACUUACGCUAAUACCGCAUACGACCUACGGGUGAAAGCAGGGGAUCUUCGGACCUUGCGCGAUUGAAUGAGCCGAUGUCGGAUCAGCUAGUUGGCGGGGUAAAGGCCCACCAAGGCGACGAUCCGUAGCUGGUCUGAGAGGAUGAUCAGCCACACUGGAACUGAGACACGGUCCAGACUCCUACGGGAGGCAGCAGUGGGGAAUAUUGGACAAUGGGCGCAGGCCUGAUCCAGCCAUACCGCGUGGGUGAAGAAGGCCUUCGGGUUGUAAAGCCCUUUUGUUGGGAAAGAAAAGCAGCAGGUUAAUACCCCGCUGUUCUGACGGUACCCAAAGAAUAAGCACCGGCUAACUUCGUG
rnacentral:rRNA from 1 species